UACGUAGGGGGCAAGCGUUGUCCGGAUUUAUUGGGCGUAAAGAGCGUGUAGGCGGCCUGAAAGGUCAGUUGUGAAAACUCGAGGCUUAACCUCGAGACGUCGGUUGAAACCAUCUGGCUAGAGUCCGGAAGAGGAGUGUGGAAUUCCCGGUGUAGCGGUGAAAUGCGCAGAUAUCAGGAAGAACACCCUGGCUAAGGCGGCUCUCUAG
rnacentral:rRNA from 1 species